CCCUUAGAUGUUCUGGGCCGCACGCGCGCUACACUGUUCGACGCAGCGAGUCUUAACCUUGACCGAAAGGUUUGGGUAAUCUUCAGCAAAGUCGAACGUGAUGGGGAUCGAUCAUUGCAAUUAUUGAUCGUGAACGAGGAAUUCCUAGUAAGUGCAAGUCAUCAGCUUGCGCUGAUUACGUCCCUGCCCUUUGUACACACCGCCCGUCGCUACUACUGAUUGGGUGUUCAAGUGAGAUGCUUAGACCCUUGUUGCAUGGUUCAUUAUUGUGCUCCGAAAGGAAAAAGUUUCAAGCUUGAGUGUCUAGAGGAAGUAAAAGUCGUAACA
rnacentral:rRNA from 1 species